rnacentral:rRNA from 1 species
CGGUAAUUCCAGCUCCAAUAGCGUAUAUUAAAGUUGUUGAGGUUAAAAAGCUCGUAGUUGAACCUUGGGCUCGGCCCGUCGGUCCGCCUCACCGCGUGCACUGACUGGGUCGGGCCUUUUUUCCUGGAGAACCGCAUGCCCUUCACUGGGUGUGUCGGGGAACCAGGACUUUUACCGUGAACAAAUCAGAUCGCUCAAAGAAGGCCUAUGCUCGAAUGUACUAGCAUGGAAUAAUAGAAUAGGACGUGUGGUUCUAUUUUGUUGGUUUCUAGGACCGCCGUAAUGAUUAAUAGGGACAGUCGGGGGCAUCAGUAUUCAAUUGUCAGAGGUGAAAUUCUUGGAUUUAUUGAAGACUAACUACUGCGAAAGCAUUUGCCAAGGAUGUUCUCAUUAAUCAGGAACGAAAGUUAGGGGAUCGAAGACGAUCAGAUACCGUCGUAGUCUUAACCAUAAACUAUGCCGAUUAGGGAUCGGACGGUGUUAUUUUUUGACCCGUUCGGCACCUUACGAUAAAUCAAAAUGUUUGGGCUCCUGGGGGAGUAUGGUCGCAAGGCUGAAACUUAAAGAAAUUGACGGAAGGGCACCACCAGGGGUGGAGCCUGCGGCUUAAUUUGACUCAACACGGGGAAACUCACCAGGUCCAGACACGAUGAGGAUUGACAGAUUGAGAGCUCUUUCUUGAUUUCGUGGGUGGUGGUGCAUGGCCGUUCUUAGUUGGUGGAGUGAUUUGUCUGCUUAAUUGCAAUAACGAACGAGACUUUAACCUGCUAAAUAGCCCGUAUUGCUUUGGCAGUACGCUGGCUUCUUAGAGGGACUAUCGGCUCAAGCCGAUGGAAGUUUGAGGCAAUAACAGGUCUGUGAUGCCCUUAGAUGUACUGGGCCGCACGCGCGCUACACUGACACAGCCAGCGAGUACUCCCUUGGCCGGAAGGUCCGGGUAAUCUUGUUAAACUGUGUCGUGCUGGGGAUAGAGCAUUGCAAUUACUGCUCUUCAACGAGGAAUCCCUAGUAAGCGCAAGUCAUCAGCUUGCGUUGAUACGUCCCUGCCCUUUGUACACACCGCCCGUCGCUACUACCGAUUGAAUGGCUCAGUGAGGCUUCCGGACUGGCCCAGGGAGGUCGGCAACGACCACCCAGGGCCGGAAAGCUAUCCAAACUCGGUCAUUUAGAGGAAGUAAAAGUCGUAACAAGG